AUGGAGACGGCGGCUGCUAGUCGGUCCAGCGGGCCAGUGCUGUCGACACCCAACUGCCGCUCCGCCUCACCCACCCCCGUCAAACUCGCCGGCGGCGGCGCCACCCACUCGCCGGGGCCGGGCAAAUCCGUCAGCGGCUCGUCCCCGUCCUCUACCAGGAGCCGGCGCUUCUGCACGUGCUCCCCGACGAACCACCCGGGCUCGUUCCGGUGCAGCCUCCACAAGGCGCGCAAGCAGGCGGCCGCCGCCGGCAGCAGCAAGCCCGCCUCCCCGCCGUCCAGCCGCGGUCUGGGCCCGAGGCGAAUGAACAGCCAGCAGUGCGCCCGCAGGGCCCUCGCGCCGUCCGCCGCGGCGCAGCAGUCGCAGCACCUGAGGCGCGCGGGCGGGUUAAUCCCCAGGACGAGCAGGCUCUCCACAAUGUCCACGGCCGGCGAGCGUCCCGGCGACACGCUGUACUUUAUCAGUUUGGUUGUGGAAGUUAGUGUAGAUUUUCUUGUUUGGUUGUGGAACCUCGCACGGGGAAUUUAA
rnacentral:rRNA from 1 species